CCCUUAGAUGUCCGGGGCCGCACGCACGCUACACUGAAGGAAUCAGCGUGGCUUUCUCCCUGACCCGAAAGGGUUGGGAAACCCGUUGAAUCUCCUUCGUGAUAGGGAUUGGGGCUUGAAAUUGUUCCCCAUGAACGAGGAAUUCCCAGUAAGCGCGAGUCAUAAGCUCGCGUUGAUUACGUCCCUGCCCUUUGUACACACCGCCCGUCGCUACUACCGAUUGAACGGUUUAGUGAGGGCCUCGGAUUGGUCUCGGCCCGCUCUUUACCGGGCGGCGCCGUUGGUCGAGAAGACGCUCGAACUUGAUCGUUUAGAGGAAGUAAAAGUCGUAACA
rnacentral:rRNA from 1 species